rnacentral:rRNA from 1 species
UACGAAGGGGGCUAGCGUUGCUCGGAAUUACUGGGCGUAAAGCGCACGUAGGCGGUCUUUUAAGUCGGGGGUGAAAUCCUGGAGCUCAACUCCAGAACUGCCUUCGAUACUGGAAGACUUGAGUCCGGGAGAGGUGAGUGGAACUGCGAGUGUAGAGGUGAAAUUCGUAGAUAUUCGCAAGAACACCAGUGGCGAAGGCGGUUGCCUGGGGCUUUGCUGACGCUGAUGCGCGAAAGCGUGGGGAGCGAGUCCGG